GACGAACGCUGGCGGCGUGCUUAACACAUGCAAGUCGAACGGGCCUUGUCCCCUUUUUUUUUGGGGGUGGGGUUAGUGGCGAACGGGUGAGUAACACGUGAGUAACCUGCCCCUCACUUCUGGAUAACCGCUUGAAAGGGUGGCUAAUACGGGGUGUUCUGGCCUGCUCGCAUGGGUGGGUUUGGAAAGAUUCGACCGGUUUGGUUGUUUUGGUGGGGGAUGGGCUCGCGGCCUAUCAGCUUGUUGGUGGGGGGCUGGCCUGCCAAGGCGUUGACGGGUAGCCGGCCUGAGAGGGUGGGCGGUCACACUGGGACUGAGACACGGCCCAGACUCCUACGGGAGGCAGCAGUGGGGAAUAUUGCACAAUGGGCGCAAGCCUGAUGCAGCGACGCCGCGUGAGGGAUGGAGGCCGUCGGGUUGUGAACCUCUUUCGCCAGUGAAGAAGGUCCUGCUCUUUGUGGUGGGGUUGACGGUAGCUGGGUUAAUGAAGCGCCGGCUAACUACGUG
rnacentral:rRNA from 1 species